CUCAUUCCUGUGCUUGCCACAGGAAUGAGGAUAGAAGGAGGGACCGAUGCAGUCCCUCGAUAGGGUUCAUAGACCCGUGCGGUCAGUGAAGACGAGGGCCGGAAGUCAAGAAGCCUCCUCGGCUGUCGCGCAUCGAU
rnacentral:sRNA from 1 species